AUUGAACGCUGGCGGCAGGCCUAACACAUGCUAGUCGAGCGAGCGGCGGACGGGUGAGUAAUGUAUGGGGAUCUGCCCGAUAGAGGGGGAUAACUACUAGAAACGGUGGCUAAUACCGCAUCCUAUCGGCUGACCACAUCUGGGAUUAGCUAGUAUGUGGGGUAAGGGCUAACCUAGGCGACGAUCUCUAGCUGGUCUGAGAGGCUGAGCAGCCGCACUGGGACUGAAACACGCCCCAGACUCCUACGGGAGGCAGCAGUGGGGAAUAGUGCACAAGGGGCGCAAGCCUGAUGCAGCCAUGCCGCGGGGAGGAAGAAGGCCUGAGGGUUGUAAAGUACUUUCAGCGGGGAGGCGUUACCCGCAGAAGAAGCACCGGCUAACACCGUGCCAGCAGCCGCGGUAAUAC
rnacentral:rRNA from 1 species